rnacentral:rRNA from 1 species
UACGUAGGGUGCGAGCGUUGUCCGGAAUUACUGGGCGUAAAGAGCUCGUAGGCGGCCUGUCGCGUCUGCUGUGAAAUCCCGGGGCUCAACCCCGGGCCUGCAGUGGAUACGGGCUGGCUGGAGGCAGGCAGGGGAGAACGGAAUUCCUGGUGUAGCGGUGAAAUGCGCAGAUAUCAGGAGGAACACCAAUAGCGAAGGCAGCUCGCUGGGACGGUACUGACGCUAAGGCGCGAAAGCGUGGGGAGCGAACAGG